rnacentral:rRNA from 1 species
UACGAAGGGGGCUAGCGUUGUUCGGAAUCACUGGGCGUAAAGGGUGCGCAGGCGGGUCCAUCAGUCAGGGGUGAAAUCCCGAGGCUCAACCUCGGAACUGCCCUUGAUACUGUGGAUCUUGAGUCCGGAAGAGGUGAGUGGAACUGCGAGUGUAGAGGUGAAAUUCGUAGAUAUUCGCAAGAACACCGGUGGCGAAGGCGGCUCACUGGUCCGGAACUGACGCUGAGGCACGACAGCGUGGGGAGCAAACAGG